rnacentral:rRNA from 1 species
GCUCCAAUAGCGUAUAUUAAUGUUGUUGCAGUUAAAAAGCUCGUAGUUGGAUUUGUGGUGUGUCCUGUCGGUCCGUGGACUCAGUCUGCGUGUCUGUACGGGUCUGCCUUUCAUGGGAUUGUUGGCUUUGUGGCAUUAGGUUGUCGCAUUGUUGAUGCCAUCUUUUACUGUGAAAAAAUUAGAGUGUUCAAAGCAGGCUU